UAACGUUUAAGUUUAAUCGUCAUGUUCCAUCCCAAUUUGUCAUCUUCGGUUCAUCAUCAAUGGAGUUUUAGGAAGAUAUUCGAGAUGUAUAUUCCUGAUGAAUCUCUAGAUCGAACUUUUCUUUUCAUAAGUCUCCGGAUCGAGCUUCGUCUGAUCCAUCGCCUCUGAUACGUUACGAGAUUAAUUGGUUCAUCGCCAUUAAUAGCAUUCUUAAAUCCCUUGAUCCAUGAUUUCUCAUUCAAUACUUCUAUCUCCCUUCUAGGCGGUGAAACUUCACUUAUAAAAGGAACCAAAACAGAAUUGAUCUCCGUGAAGAAGCUUCAGCACUAUAUUCUCUACCGGAGAUGACAUUAAUACAUGAAGGCAAGCGUUUGAAUCACAAGCCAAGGACCCAAUAUCGAAUCACUCAUUCAAGUCACCUCUUCAUAUCUAAACAUACACUACAUCAGAGUCUUCAGUUGACAUCCUCUUCAAUUCAUCUUCACCGACUGCUACACCCGUAACAUUUAAUAUAUAUAGUUAGCUUUGGAAACAAUAAAUAUUGGUGUACAAAAUGAUAUUGGAAAAGUUGAAUGGCAACUUAUAGUUGGCUUUCGUAAAUUCACCAGUAUAUAUUAAUUGGUGGUGCAAAUGGGUUCAUAUUAUGGUCUUA